UACAAUGGCACUAGAAUCACAGUUUCACUUUGUUAUCUUCCAGUCAGUAGACUAAGUCUUCAUCAGUGGAUAGAUAGGCAUGCAACUAGGCCACUAAACGGAGUCACGAGCUUUAUUCACUCGGCCCAUUUCACUAUAGAUUAUAGGAGGAGUCAUGUGAAAUAUAAUAUAUUAAAAUCGAAAUUCCAGUUCAUACCGAGAACGAAACUGCUAUUCUAAAGUUUAAAGGGAAGUAGCCUAGAACAGAAAGCAUUACCUCAGUUUCUGUUAAUGGUCUGCGAAAAUACACAAUAUAAUCUUGGAAUUUACCUCCACACUCACAGCUGAAACAUGGCGAAGAUGACCCCACUGUUUAUGUUCCUCGUACUCUCUGCAACCAAAGAGCUGUUCAGAGGAGGCUGUGCGUUAUGUGACUCUCCUCCAUCUUCACAUACGCCUGUUGGUGUCCGGGAGGGAGAGAUGGCAGUGCUACAGUGCUCACUGCGGACCAGCAUGGCAGGGCACAGGGAGGGGAUCCUGACCCUGGCAUGGAGCAACCACUCUGGGCCUGGGGAGCUUCAGGAGCCUGCGGUGUGGAUGUCUGAAGACACUCGUCAUCCUGAGGGUCUCUCCCAACCAACAGGGGUUCUACUCCUGCUCACUACUCAACGCCAGUGGCCAGCCCCUGAGGACAGAGUGGUUUAACGUCACAGUGUUCUCUGGCCAGUGUUACACAGAUAGGACUGCAUAUUCAGUCACGUGCUAUCUGAGACAGUCCUGUGAAAAGUUAACCUGCACGUCAAACAGCGUCCCACAAAACUUCACAAAACAUAAUUAUACGUGGUACAAGGUAUGACCUCUUCUUUUCUUCACCCCCUCCCCCCUCCCCCCUCCCCCAGCAGAUGACAAAGUAGUAGUAAAUAUCCACUGAUGUUGAGUUUCCACUAGUUCUUCUUACUUGCCUUUGGCUAAAACUAAAAACAUGCGUCAUUACAUGUGCUUGAAGAGGUGAGUUUUCCCUCUAGCCGUUGGCAAGCUGCUAUUGAAAAGUCUGUAGAUUUUUUUCCACGAGACCAAAAGCCACAGGGUGUUUCCCUGUUAUAUCAUGUUUUUCCCCUGGCCUGAGUGGGUGUCCUCGCUAGCAUAGGGACCAGCAUCAACGAUUUAGUUCACCAGUCAUGGAUGGUGCAGCAAAACUCUCACAACUCUGUUAUGUGAUUAGCAUCAAUAGACACUGGCAUUGUAUUACCUGUUUAUUACCAGUUGAUUACCAGAUGAUUACCAGGUGAUUACCAGUUGAUUACCAGGUGAUUACCAGUUGAUUACCAGGUGAUUACCAGGUGAUUACCAGGUGCUUACCUGUUUAUUAAUCACAUUUAUUUAUAAAGUCCUUUUUACAUCAGCAGAUGUGACAAAGUGCUCAUACAGAAACCAAGUCUAAAACCCCAAGCAGCAAGCAAUGCAAAUGUAGAAGCAUGGUGGCUAGGAAAACCUCCCUGUGUAUUAUGUGUCCUGUUAUUGCCUGUGUAUUACCUGUUAUUGCCUGUUUAUUACCUGUUAUUACCUGGUAUUACCUGUUUAUUACCUGUUUAUUACCUGUUAUUACCUGUUAUUGCCUGUUAUUACCUGUUAUUGCCUGUUUAUUGCCUGGUAUUACCUGUUUAUUACCUGUUUAUUACCUGUUAUUGCCUGUGUAUUACCUGUUAUUGCCUGUUUAUUGCCUGUGUAUUACCUGUUUAUUACCUGUUUAUUACCUGUUAUUGCCUGUGUAUUACCUGUUUAUUACCUGGUAUUACCUGUUUUUACCUGUUUAUUACCUGUUAUUGCCUGUUAUUGCCUGUUAUUACCUGUUAUUGCCUGUGUAUUACCUGUUAUUGCCUGUUAUUGCCUGUUAUUACCU